rnacentral:rRNA from 1 species
GAUGAACGCUGGCGGCGUGCCUAACACAUGCAAGUCGAGCGUGAUUUAUGAGGACGAAACUUCGGUCUAGGAAUCAUAAUGAAAGCGGCGGACGGGUGAGUAACGCGUAGGCAACCUGCCCUUGACACAGGGAUAGCCUCGGGAAACCGGGAUUAAAACCUGAUGACGCCAAACAGUCACAUGGCUGUUUGGCCAAAGAUUUAUCGGUCAAGGAUGGGCCUGCGUCUGAUUAGUUAGUUGGUUGGGUAACGGCCUACCAAGACGACGAUCAGUAGCCUACCUGAGAGGGUGAUCGGCCACAUUGGAACUGAGACACGGUCCAAACUCCUACGGGAGGCAGCAGUGGGGAAUAUUGCACAAUGGGCGAAAGCCUGAUGCAGCAACGCCGCGUGAGCGAUGAAGGCCUUUGGGUCGUAAAGCUCCGUCCUUGGGGAAGAAACAAAUGACGGUACCCAAGGAGGAAGCCCCGGCUAACUACGUGCCAGCAGCCGCGGUAAGAC